rnacentral:rRNA from 1 species
UACAGAGGUCUCAAGCGUUGUUCGGAUUCAUUGGGCGUAAAGGGUGCGUAGGCGGCGCGGUAAGUCGGGUGUGAAAUCUUGGAGCUUAACUCCGAAACUGCAUUCGAUACUGCCGUGCUUGAGGACUGGAGAGGAGACUGGAAUUUACGGUGUAGCGGUGAAAUGCGUAGAGAUCAUGAGGAAGACCAGUGGCGAAGGCGGGUCUCUGGACAGUUCCUGACACUGAGACACGAAGGCCCAGGGGGAGCAAACGGG